ACGGAACGACCCGCGAACGCGUUGACAACACAAGCGGAGGGGGCCCCGACGCCCCCUCCGAGCCGCGACGAGCGCGACGGUCGCCUCUCUCCGCCCCCCAGGCGGACGGGACGMCCGCUCCCCUCGCCCGCGGCGCAACAACAACGAACCCCCGGCGCGAAUCGCGCCAAGGAACMGCGAAGAGAAAGAGCRCGCGGCCCGCCUCGCGCGGCCYCGCGUCUCRUUUCCCACGAAAAUCUAAAACGACUCUCGGCAACGGAUAUCUCGGCUCUCGCAUCGAUGAAGAACGUAGCGAAAUGCGAUACUUGGUGUGAAUUGCAGAAUCCCGUGAACCAUCGAGUCUUUGAACGCAAGUUGCGCCCCAAGCCGUCAGGCCGAGGGCACGCCUGCCUGGGUGUCACGCAACGUCGCUCCCCCCCAAAACGACCCUCGACCCCCUCGGUCCGGGGGCGAACGAAGGGGGGACGGAAGAUGGCCUCCCGUGCGCUCCCCGCUCGCGGUUGGCCCAAACGCGGGUCCUCGGCGACGGCAGCGCCGCGACGAUCGGUGGAGACGCCCGCYGGGCUUCCCUCGUCGCGAGCGCCCGCCGUCCCGCGCGGACCCUWCCGGAGACCCCGAAACGCGUCGCUCGAUCGACGCUCGCGUCGCGACCCCAGGUCAGGCGGGAACACCCGC
rnacentral:rRNA from 1 species